GGCUCAAAAGAGGCUCAAAAGGACAGAAUUGGGACAUAAGAGGAAAAAAUGAAAUAAAAUUAGGCUGGAAUCACAUUCAAUACCAACAACUAUUACCACAAAUGGAAGAAGAGACAACCAGAAAAGACCCAGGCACACUUCUGGAGACCCACUGUUGUGUAAAAUACAAUGAUUGUAAAACAAUUAUGGGAAAAAUGGUACCAUACGCAUCACAGCUGACUGUCUGGAAAGAGCCAAGGCAGUGGGACCGAGAUGUCCAGUUUUGCCAGGCAACAGUUGGAUCAUAACUGUGGCACUUCUUACUGUGUUCCUGGAGGAAGUUCUUCCCUAACUCUCCCAGUUUGCAGCAGUCUCCUGGGGAAGAACUGGUAUGGAAAGAACCAACUGUACUUGAGGGUGGGAGUGGGUGCCAGGAGGAAAAGCUGAGCAAGUCACUCACUUUAGUUUCUCAGGCAGAGCUACACUAUUACAGUUUCUCUGUCUCCUUAUCUAGCAUAAUACUCUGCUGGUCUCCUGAGACCCAGAAGAGAUGUUCUGGGCCAUUUCUGCCUGUCCCCUGGGGGUUUUUGGUGAAGAAUUGAGCUCUGCCACUCCUUAUUCCACCAUCUCCUGCUCUGGAGAUUUUAAAUGCAAGUUUAGGGAUCACCAUCAGUUGAUGUACUUUCACUCUCAUGAUUCUGUAGGUUUUUCUCUGCUUGGAAACUGCCUGAUUUUGCCUGCAUCCUUAUGGGCUUCCCCUUGUCAGUGGGGUCUAACCCUGUGCUCCCUGGGACAAGACUCAAUAUUAGACAUGACUACUGGACACAUGACUAAGUACUGAUUUUCCUCAAGAAGCUCUUGAUGUUGAAUAUUACUGACUGACAAAGUGGAGUCCAGGACAAAGCACAAUGCAGAUCUAGGUGAAUUACCCCUUGCCAAAUAUCUGAUUCUCAGCACUCCAUUCUGAGCUCUGUGUCUACCAAUAUCUUUAUUGUUCUGUUUGCAGCUGUAUCUUUUUCUUUGACUUAAGUUUUCCUUCUUCUUUAAGCAACAGGAUACAUAUAAUGGGUUUUCAUAUGAUGUAAAUUGAAUAAAGGAAUUUCUUAGGAUUUUUUAGGAGG